rnacentral:rRNA from 1 species
UUCAAUCAUAAAAGGUGGCUUUUAGCUACCACUURCAGAUGGACCCGCGGCGCCUUGCUCCCUUGGUGAGGUGACGGCUCGGCAAGGCACCCGUGGGUAGCCUACCUGUGAGGGUGGUCGGACACACUGGGACUGGGACACGGCCCAGACUCCUACGGGAGGCAGCAGUAGGGAAUCUUCCGCAAUGGACGAAAGUCUGACGGAGCAACGCCGCGUGAGUGAUGAAGGUUUUCGGAUCGUAAAACUCUGUUGUUAGGGAAGAACAAGUACCGUUCGAAUAGGGCGGYAC